AUCUUAAAUUUUAAACGUCUCGUAUUUCAACUUAUCGAUCUCACAAUAAAUUUUAAACGUCUCCUUAGCUAGAUUAUGUGCAAGAAGAUUAGCAGAUCUAGAAAUGUGGCUGAAUAGAAUUUGUUGAAAGAAUCUUUUUUGCAUCUGGAUAUCUCUUAUCAAGGCCCCCAAUCACCGAUUUGUCUUCUAAAUCUGAUUUUACACUUUUUAAUUACUGAGACCGAAUCUCCUUCGAUUAUAACUGAUGAAAAACCCCUUUGUUUUCCAAUCGACACUGCUUGGAUACACGCGAGACUUUGUGCUGCAAACGGCGAGGCAACCCGUUCGUGAGUCACAGUAUUUUAGUCGAGAACCUCCCCCGACGCAUUCCUAGCCACCACCCCUGAGAUCGCUUUAGCCUGUACCUCGUCAAAAGCUGCGUCAAAAUUAAGUUUAAUAACCGACUCACUCGGUGGACACCAAUCUAUAGCUAUGAUUUACUUUAUCACCCACAAGGAGCAACAGAAGACAAGACGCUGUAAACUACUGCAUCUAUUGAAUACCCAGGCAUAGUUGGAAAAUAUGAUUUACAUUCUCAAUGGCCCCUCUACAACUGGGGCAAGCAAACACCGUCGUCAAUAAGGCAAAGAUUCGCAAGAUUGGGGAUAAAAUUCCAAGAAAUCUUCCAGACUAGGAUCUUGAUUUUUGCUGGAAUAUAACAUUUGAAAGUUUUUUUGUAAAAUUUUGUAACCUCUGUCUGUAUUAAAUUAGGAGUAGAAUUAGCAUCAUGUAAUAGUUUGUAGUCACUUCUUACAGAAAGUUCACCAAAUGGCUCCCCUUUCCAUACCAUAAAGUCGUCAUGGGCUUCAACAGCUAAGGGGAUUUUUACAAUUCUGUGUGCAUCCUCUCUCGAAAAGUACUUGGGAGCCACGCAUAAUCCAGAAUUGAGAUUUUUUCUCCGGUCCCUACCCUCCAACACAUCCCGUUUUACAACAAACUUUUGGCUGCCCACACACUCUUCCAGAUAUAAGACGAUAGAUUUCCUAACUCAGAAUUUAGAAAAUCCUAAUUUGGGAACUACUUAGCUUUUAAAACUCGCAAUAAUAAUGAAUUGGGAUAAUUUAUAAUA